rnacentral:ncRNA from 2 species
CAGAAGCCCCGGGGAGCUGGGACAGCCGGCUGAGAGGGUAUCCGGACGCGAUACCGACCCUGUAACCUGAUCUGGAUAAUGCCAGCGUAGGGAAACGUCAAGCAGCGCGC